rnacentral:rRNA from 1 species
AACGAACGCUGGCGGCAUGCCUAACACAUUCAAGUCGAACGAGACCUUCGGGUCUAGUGGCGCACGGGUGCGUAACGCGUGGGAACCUGCCCUUAGGUUCGGAAUAACUCCCCGAAAGGGGUGCUAAUACCGGAUAAUGUCUUCGGACCAAAGAUUUAUCGCCUUUGGAUGGGCCCGCGUUGGAUUAGCUAGUUGGUAGGGUAAAAGCCUACCAAGGCGACGAUCCAUAGCUGGUCUGAGAGGAUGAUCAGCCACACUGGGACUGAGACACGGCCCAGACUCCUACGGGAGGCAGCAGUGGGGAAUAUUGGACAAUGGGCGAAAGCCUGAUUCAGCAAUGCCGCGUGAGUGAUGAAGGCCUUAGGGUUGUAAAGCUCUUUUACCCGGGAUGAUAAUGACAGUACCGGGAGAAUAAGCGCCGGCUAACUCCGUG